GGACCCUUCGGGGUCAGCGGCGGACGGGUGAGUAACACGUGGGUAAUCUGCCCAACUGACUGGAAUAACGCCUGGAAACGGGUGCUAAUGCCGGAUAGGCAACUGGUAGGCAUCUACCGGUUGGGAAAGGUGCAACUGCACCGCAGAUGGAGGAGCCCGCGGCGCAUUAGCUAGUUGGUGGGGUAACGGCCCACCAAGGCGACGAUGCGUAGCCGACCUGAGAGGGUGACCGGCCACACUGGGACUGAGACACGGCCCAGACUCCUACGGGAGGCAGCAGUAGGGAAUCUUCGGCAAUGGGCGAAAGCCUGACCGAGCAACGCCGCGUGAGCGAAGAAGGCCUUCGGGUUGUAAAGCUCAGUCACCCGGGAAGAGCGGGCAGGAGAGGGAAUGCUCCUGUCGAGACGGUACCGGGAGAGGAAGCCCCGGCUAACUACGUG
rnacentral:rRNA from 1 species